rnacentral:snRNA from 1 species
UUUGUUUUUCAGCCUUUUGGCUAAGAUCGAGCAUAGAAGUUGUUCUUAUCAGUUCAGGACGUGAUAUGUCCUCUAUCCAAGGACAAUGAUAUUAAGUGAAUUUUGGAACAGGGAAAUGGAAAGGAUUUUGUCUGUGCAGUCCACUCAUUGCACAUCAACCUGGCAGUGCUAUACUUCAGGGAAUAGUCCUC